UACGGAGGGUGCGAGCGUUGUCCGGAAUUAUUGGGCGUAAAGGGCUCGUAGGCGGUCUGUCGCGUCGGGAGUGAAAACUCAGGGCUUAACCCUGAGCCUGCUUCCGAUACGGGCAGACUAGAGGUAUGCAGGGGAGAACGGAAUUCCUGGUGUAGCGGUGAAAUGCGCAGAUAUCAGGAGGAACACCUGUGGCGAAGGCGGUUCUCUGGGCAUUACCUGACGCUGAGGAGCGAAAGUGUGGGGAGCGAACAGG
rnacentral:rRNA from 1 species